AUUGAACGCUGGCGGCAGGCCUAACACAUGCAAGUCGAGCGGAUGAAUGGAGCUUGCUCCUGGAUUCAGCGGCGGACGGGUGAGUAAUGCCUAGGAAUCUGCCUGGUAGUGGGGGAUAACGUCCGGAAACGGGCGCUAAUACCGCAGACGUCCUGAGGGCGAAAGUGGGGAUCUUCGGACCUCACGCUAUCAGAUGAGCCUAGGUCGGCUUAGCUAGUUGGUGGGGUAAAGGCCUACCAAGGCGACGAUCCGUAACUGUUCUGAGAGGAUGAUCAGUAACACGGGAACGAAGACACGGUCCAGAAUUCUGAGGGAGGCACGAGUGGGGAACAUUCGACAAGGGGCGAAAGCGUGAUCCAGGCAUGCCGCGAGAGUGAAGAAGGUCUUCGGAUUGUAAAGCACGUUAAGUUGGGAGGAAUGGAAGUAUGUUAAUACCUUCCUGUUUGGACGUUCCCAAAAGAAUAAGCCCCGGCUAACUCCGUG
rnacentral:rRNA from 1 species